GGCCUAACACAUGCAAGUCGAGCGGUAACAUGGUCUGUAGCAAUACAGAUUGAUGACGAGCGGCGGACGGGUGAGGAACACGUAGGGAUCUACCUUAGAGAGGGGGAUAACCAAGGGAAACUUUGGCUAAUACCGCAUGCCCUCGAGAGAGAAAAGCCGCCCCGCACUAGUUGCGGGGUGGCGCUUUAAGAAGAACCUGCGUCCGAUUAGCUAGUUGGUGAGGUAAUAGCUCACCAAGGCGAUGAUCGGUAACUGGUCUGAGAGGACGACCAGUCACACUGGGACUGAGACACGGCCCAGACUCCUACGGGAGGCAGCAGUGGGGAAUCUUGGACAAUGGGGGCAACCCUGAUCCAGCGAUGCCGCGUGAGUGAAGAAGGCCUUCGGGUCGUAAAGCUCUUUAGGUUGGGAAGAAGUUAGGCAGGUGAAUAGCCUGCUUAAUUGACGGUA
rnacentral:rRNA from 1 species